GCAAAACGCGAAGAACCUUACCCACCUUUGACAUGUACGGAAUCCUUUAGAGAUAGAGGAGUGCUCGAAAGAGAGCCGUAACACAGGUGCUGCAUGGCUGUCGUCAGCUCGUGUCGUGAGAUGUUGGGUUAAGUCCCGCAACGAGCGCAACCCUUGCCAUUAGUUGCUACAUUUAGUUGAGCACUCUAAUGGGACUGCCGGUGACAAACCGGAGGAAGGUGGGGAUGACGUCAAGUCCUCAUGGCCCUUAUAGGUGGGGCUACACACGUCAUACAAUGGCUGGUACAAAGGGUUGCCAACCCGCGAGGGGGAGCUAAUCCCAUAAAACCGAUCGUAGUCCGGAUCGCAGUCUGCAACUCGACUGCGUGAAGUCGGAAUCGCUAGUAAUCGUGAAUCAGAAUGUCACGGUGAAUACGUUCCCGGGUC
rnacentral:rRNA from 1 species